rnacentral:rRNA from 3 species
CAAAUAUGAAGGCGGGCUGGAACCUCUCGGGGUUACAGCCUUGCUGAAUUAUUCACCCUUGUCUUUUGCGUACUUCUUGUUUCCUUGGUGGGUUCGCCCACCACUAGGACAAACAUAAACCUUUUGUAAUUGCAAUCAGCGUCAGUAACAAAUUAAUAAUUACAACUUUCAACAACGGAUCUCUUGGUUCUGGCAUCGAUGAAGAACGCAGCGAAAUGCGAUAAGUAGUGUGAAUUGCAGAAUUCAGUGAAUCAUCGAAUCUUUGAACGCACAUUGCGCCCUUUGGUAUUCCAAAGGGCAUGCCUGUUCGAGCGUCAUUUGUACCCUCAAGCUUUGCUUGGUGUUGGGCGUCUUGUCUCUAGCUUUGCUGGAGACUCGCCUUAAAGUAAUUGGCAGCCGGCCUACUGGUUUCGGAGCGCAGCACAAGUCGCACUCUCUAUCAGCAAAGGUCUAGCAUCCAUUAAGCCUUUUUUUCAACUUUUGACCUCGGAUCAGGUAGGGAUACCCGCUGAACUUAAGCAUAUCAAUAAGCGGAGGA